rnacentral:rRNA from 1 species
UACAGAGGGUGCGAGCGUUAAUCGGAAUUACUGGGCGUAAAGGGCGCGUAGGCGGUUGUUUAAGUGAGAUGUGAAAUCCCCGGGCUUAACCUGGGAACUGCAUCUUAUACUGAAUGGCUGGAGUACUGUAGAGGGUAGUGGAAUUUCCGGUGUAGCGGUGAAAUGCGUAGAGAUCGGAAGGAACACCAGUGGCGAAGGCGGCUACCUGGACAGAUACUGACGCUGAGGCGCGAAAGCGUGGGGAGCAAACAGG